UGCCUACGGGGCGCAGCAGUGGGGAAUAUUGGGCAAUGGAGGAAACUCUGACCCAGCAACGCCGCGUGAAGGAUGAAGGUUUUCGGAUUGUAAACUUCUGUUGCGAGGGAUGAAGAAUGACGGUACCUCGUGAGGAAGCCCCGGCAAACUACGUGCCAGCAGCCGCGGUAAUACGUAGGGGGCAAGCGUUGUCCGGAAUGACUGGGCGUAAAGGGAGUGUAGGCGGCCUUUUAAGUUAUAUGUGAAAGCCCCCGGCUUAACCGAGGAACUGCAUAU
rnacentral:rRNA from 1 species